rnacentral:rRNA from 1 species
UGGCGGACGGGUGAGUAACGCGUGGGUAACCUGCCUUAUACAGGGGGAUAACAGUUAGAAAUGACUGCUAAUACCGCAUAAGCGCACAGGAUUGCAUGAUCUGGUGUAAAAAACUCCGGUGGUAUAAGAUGGACCCGCGUCUGAUUAGCUGGUUGGUGAGGUAACGGCCCACCAAGGCGACGAUCAGUAGCCGACCUGAGAGGGUGACCGGCCACAUUGGGACUGAGACACGGCCCAAACUCCUACGGGAGGCAGCAUG